CUGUUGUUUCGGUUGCUUUGUCGUUGACAAAUACAUUCAAAUGAAUGUGACUCGCAUAGAUUUGCUGAAAUGGACAUGAAAAUGAGAAAUGCGUUCAACGAACCAGCAAAGCAGCUGAAGAUGCCCUCAGCUAACACAAAGACGCUGGUCGAACAUGUAUGGAGCUACAUGUGUGUGUGUGUGUGUGGGUGUCUCAGUUGUGUUAGGUGUGUGUGCUAAGAAGAAACAAGUAUUGCUCAUAUGGCAGAAGCUUCAACUGCAGCUUCAGUUACGCAUUCAAAACUCAUCAUCGUCAUCAACAACAUACGCAACACCAGCAGCAGCAGGAGAUUGUGAUGUGGCAACAGCCGUCAGCCCGCAACUGCAGCUCUGGCAGUGACAGUCGGUGGCACAUUUUAUUGUUUUAUUAGAACAGUUGGAUCAAGAGUGGCGGCGACGCUAGCUCAGACACAAUCAUACGGCUGACUAAUGCACGACUAAUGCGCAAUGUUCCGUAUACGUAAUAAUAUGCUUCAUGUAGCACUCACCAGGCACAAAUACGUCGCUGAGAUAGUCAGUUCUGAGAAAUUGUUAUAGAAUAGUCGCUUACCCUUUUAGACAAAUUGUUUGGAUUAUUGACUGGCCAUGAGCCAUUAACUAAUCAAAAACUGCAAUAAUACAGAUUGCUAUCUAUUAUUGUAUAAAUUGAAUUUUCGGCAGUCGCACGUAAUGCCAUCACAGAAUUUUUGUUAUUUUAAUUUAUGGCUUAAUCUAAAACAUAAGUUAAUCAAAUUACAUAUUAAAUUUGCAUAGCUUAAAUGCCAGUUGUGUGCGAACUGAGUGCCCAUUCUUAGAGCUCUAUAGUUGCAUCUCUGGAGGUUUAUUAUAUAUAAGUAUUUGACAUUGCUUACUAACUUUGGAGUUUCGUCGAGCUAUGCAACAACCUAAUCGCUGUUGCUCACUUCGAAACCAAACGAGGGAGUUGCAAAUACCCGACUGGGAGACACCGUUUAGCCAGGCUCAAGUCUCAACUGAAUAACAGUAUAUUUGCAUUCACAUAUGUAUUUAAAAUAAUUAGAUUAUAAAAAAAAUAAUGCUGCAUAUGGUAGCAAGGAACUUGCGUAUAAACAGUUUAAGUUAAACGCAAAAAAAAAAAGUCGAUGCAUCAAAGGAUCUCAGAUGCUUUCCCUUUAAACGCCUUUUUAGCCAUUUUAUGAGCACAGGGUAUAAAAACCUGAAAAAGAAUGUCUGAAUGAAGACCAUUGCAUUGUUAUAACGCAACAAACGUGUGCGUGGGCGUGUACGGUCGUCCGAAUAAUGAAUUUAAUGAACCAUUAAGAUGCUCGCCCAGUGAUAAAUUUCGAUGCGGCGCAUAAAUUAAAUGGCACCCGGACUGUAGCCCAUAGCUUUAGUAACUGUGAUUGCAUCGCCUGAACAAAUAUUUUUUAUAUAAAAAACACACACAUGGAAUACUUUUUAU